rnacentral:rRNA from 1 species
GACGAACGCUGGCGGCGUGCCUAAUACAUGCAAGUAGAACGCUGAAGGAGGAGCUUGCUUCUCUGGCUGAGUUGCGAACGGGUGAGUAACGCGUGGGUAACCUGCCUGGUAGCGGGGGAUAACUAUUGGAAACGAUAGCUAAUACCGCAUAAGAGUAGACGUUGCAUGACAUUUGCUUAAAAGGUGCAAUUGCAUCACUACCAGAUGGACCUGCGUUGUAUUUGCUAGUUGGUGGGGUAACGGCUCACCCAGGCGACGAUACAUAGCCGACCGGAGAGGGGGGGCGGCCACACUGGGACGGUGACACGGCACAGAGUCCUUCGGGAGGCAGCAGUACGGAAUCUGCGGCAAUGGGCGGAAGUCUGACCGAGCAACGCCGCGGGAGUGUAGAGGGUUUUCGGAUCGUAAAGCUCUGUUGUAAGAGAAGAACGAGUGUGAGGGUGGAAAGUUCACACUGUGACGGUAUCUGACCAGAAAGCGACGGCUAACUACGUG